AGUGAACGCUGGCGGUAGGCUUAACACAUGCAAGUCGAACGACAGAACAGUAAGUUGUUGCUUUUACGGGAGGCGAGUGCGGGUCGGUUGCGGAAUGGUUAGGAACCUAUAAUUUCGUGAGGGCUAACGUAGGGAAACUCACGCUAAUACCGCAUACGACCUACGGGUGAUUGCAGCGGAUCAUCUGACUUUGCUCGAAUGUAUGAGCGGAGGUCGGAUUAGCUAGUUGGCUGGGUAAAGGCCUACCAAGGCGACGAACCGUAGCUGGCCUGAGAGGAUGAUCGGCAACACUGGAACUGAGACACGGUCCAGACUCCUACGGGAGGCAGCAGUGGGGAAUAUUAGGCAAUGGGCGAAAGCCUGAUCCAGCAAUACCGCGUGAGUGAAGAAGGCCUUCGGGUUGUAAAGCCCUGUUGUUAGGAAAGAAAAACAGCAGGUUUAUACGCCGAUGUUCUGACGGUACCCAAAGAGAAAGCACCGGCUAACUACGUG
rnacentral:rRNA from 1 species